rnacentral:rRNA from 1 species
UCCGUAGGUGAACCUGCGGAAGGAUCAUUACCGAGUGUAGGGUUCCUAGCGAGCCCAACCUCCCACCCGUGUUUACUGUACCUUAGUUGCUUCGGCGGGCCCGCCAUUCAUGGCCGCCGGGGGCUCUCAGCCCCGGGCCCGCGCCCGCCGGAGACACCACGAACUCUGUCUGAUCUAGUGAAGUCUGAGUUGAUUGUAUCGCAAUCAGUUAAAACUUUCAACAAUGGAUCUCUUGGUUCCGGCAUCGAUGAAGAACGCAGCGAAAUGCGAUAACUAGUGUGAAUUGCAGAAUUCCGUGAAUCAUCGAGUCUUUGAACGCACAUUGCGCCCCCUGGUAUUCCGGGGGGCAUGCCUGUCCGAGCGUCAUUGCUGCCCAUCAAGCACGGCUUGUGUGUUGGGUCGUCGUCCCCUCUCCGGGGGGGACGGGCCCCAAAGGCAGCGGCGGCACCGCGUCCGAUCCUCGAGCGUAUGGGGCUUUGUCACCCGCUCUGUAGGCCCGGCCGGCGCUUGCCGAACGCAAAUCAAUCUUUUUCCAGGUUGACCUCGGAUCAGGUAGGGAUACCCGCUGAACUUAAGCAUAUCAAUAAGCCGGAGGA